rnacentral:rRNA from 1 species
AUUGAACGCUGGCGGCAUGCUUUACACAUGCAAGUCGAACGGGGUGAGGGGGCAACUCCUCAUUCAGUGGCGAACGGGUGAGUAAUGCAUCGGAACGUGUCCCGUAGUGGGGGAUAACUCGGCGAAAGCCGUGCUAAUACCGCAUAUGCUCUACGGAGGAAAGUGGGGGACCUGCAAGGGCCUCACGCUAUGGGAGCGGCCGAUGUCCGAUUAGCUUGUUGGCGGGGAAUGGCCCACCAAGGCGACGAUCGGUAGCUGGUCUGAGAGGAUGAUCAGCCACACUGGGACUGAGACACGGCCCAGACUCCUACGGGAGGCAGCAGUGGGGAAUUUUGGACAAUGGGGGCAACCCUGAUCCAGCCAUGCCGCGUGCGGGAAGAAGG